GGCUCUUCCCCUGCGUAGCUUCCAGGACUGCAUGUUUCUCUUACAGAGUGCUCAUAACGAAAUCUAAGUCAACCCCCUAGCUUUGACAGGUGAAGCCCUCUGGGAGGCUGGCUGUUCCAGGAGCCAGGACAACACUGGAAUGUCCUUCCAAAGCAGGACCCAAACAGCUGAGGGACUCCAGUUACCCAAGAGAAGGAAGAACAAAUGAGCCUGGUCAGGGAUUGUGAGCCCUGCCUUUGAAUCACCUGGGUAGAUCUGCAAGUUACUGAUCUUCUUCCAAUCAGCUCAUUGAACAGUUGAGGGGACAUGGGUCCAAGCUCCAGGUUUUUCCAAAGUUCUUUCCAUGGUUGUGAUGUGCAGGAAGAACUUAAAGGCCCUGGCCCGGAUGGUAUCUGAGGUUUCUGACAGGCAGAAGAUCAACAAGACUUGGUGACAACGGAAGGGGUGGGUGGCCCUUUCAGGUGCAGCCAGAACAAGACAGACAGUUACCUGUGGAUCAGGCCUGGAUCGUCACUGCUCUGGAAGCUUCCUAGUAGAGGGGACUAUGUUUUGCCAGCUCCUGCUAUGCCAUUUGGUAUACAGUCUGCUUACGGAGGUGACACCUGCUGACUGUGCGUGUUUGAGAGCCUCCCAUCUUGAGGGCUAGAGUGUUCUGCUCACCACCUACAAUUACCACGACUAAAAAUACUUCGGAGUAAGGAGAGUCUUCAAGGGGACUUGGCGCCUGAACUACACUGUUCCUAUUUCGGUGCUGUGUCUCAAGGCCACAGUCUUGCUACUGCUGAGCUGCGCAUCGCCAGUAAGACAUUGCACUUCAGAAUUCAUGGAAGCUUUGUGGUUAUGUCUCUUUCCCCCCAAAUGGUACCCACUAGAGAUCUUCCAGUUAAUUCCAUCCCGACUUAGCCACCAUGUGCAGAAACAGCAACUUCAUAGACAUCAGGCAAGCAUGCGUCUUCCCCAUGGUAAUUUGGCCACAGCUAAUGGGAUCAUUCCACCUUCGCUGGUGUGUUUUAGGAGCUACCGCACAAACCCCAGGUCAUCGUGUGAGGAGAAAUAAACUAGAAGAGGGUGAUCAAACAGGCCAAGAAGACACCAUGCCCUCUUCUUCUCCCGCUGUCUUGAGCACCUUGUGUCUGUUCACUCAGCACGAUUCCAUCUUAGCAAUAAAUCCCCCACAAGGAUGUUGUGAUCUCUCCGAUUUAAUCGGCAUUAAAUCCUUUGAGUCCUCAUAUCCUUCCUCUCCCAUUUCUUAAAAUAGUCGGCAGCACUUAAGUCCAGCAUCCUAUCGACUUCUAACAUUGCAUAACCCGCAAGAACCCUCUCCCCUAUUCUCCUUAAGGAGCCCACAUAAUCAGAAAGUUCUCCCGUGAGAACCUGUAGGUAGGGUGGUUCAGGCAGCCCUGGGGUUAGUGGGGCACAUUGCUGCCAGGAUCGCCUGAGGGCUUGCUAGGUUGGAGGGAUACUUACUAUCCCUUCACUGUUUGACUGGAUCAGAAAGUAAGUCUCUGCUUUAAUUAUCUCUUAGGGUGGGCUGAGGACAGAAGAAUUGAAUUGUGGGCAUCGGUUCUUGUCACAGUUCUUACAGGAAGCUUUGAGGUUUGAGUCAGCUUGGCAGGGAGGAGGCGUCACUCAGGGAGCAUGGACUGUGUUCUGGGGAUUUGAGAUUGGGGGACUGUUCUCAAGAGAGACCUGGGGUUGUGCUCAGCCUUGCCCAAUGCUUGGGUCACUCUGAGUCUGGAAUGGUCACAGAAGUGCAGUCUCUGUCGGAGAAACCAAACCCUUUGUAGGAUCUGUCUUGAACUAAGGAAAGAAUGGUAGGUGGAACAGAGCUCAACGGACACCGAGAGCAUCUCCCAAGCGACAAGACCCCCCCUCCCCCUGUUAGUGAGCGUGAGAUGUUCGUGGGCAAAGACACGGGAAUGGGUUCUCAAGCAGAGGGAAUGCACUUUAUGAUCCAUCUGCCAUGUUUGCAGGUGAGUGAGUGAGGAGAAAAGAACGGUUACGUGGAAGACCCAUUACGGACAUGAAAGCCAACCCCACCUUGAAGAUGUCACCGCGGUCCCAAGUUAUAGGUGGACGCCAGAAGAGUAUUUAGACUCAGACCUGGGCAAACUAGCGGACGUGCUACUCCAGGCUUAAGAAAACCCAGGUGGUUAAAACCAAGGCAGCAUCCCUAAUCUGUGCUUGGUCCAACAACAUGGCCAUUUAUUUGUGGCUCACCACUGCCCUCUGGUGGCACUCUCUAAAAAUGCAACUUGGUUUUAAAGGUUGGGGAUGGCGAGACUGACUUAACCAGUUUGUUUGUUUGUUUGUUUGUUUGUUUGUUUGAGUACAUACCCUCAGUAUUUGAGUCUCAGGAUCAUUUUGAUUCACCUGCAUGAAUCAAGUCACGUGAUUAGAGUAAAGUGAGCAGAAUUCAGCGUAUCUCAUGCCUUUGUCUGGCCCUGCCAUUGUCAGACAAUUCAGCUAGCUCUUGGGAACUGCUGUUUCUAUCAGACACUAUUGUGUGGGGCCUUUUAUAUGAGCUGUAGCAUUGAUCCUCUAGGGUGGGUGCAAUAAUUAUUCAUGUUACAGAUGAAGAAAUAGAGGCGCACAGAUGUCUCACUCUUAACAUAUGAAUAUGGUAUUGAGUCCCCAGUGACACCAACCUGUUAAGAUGUCACUCAGUACCCACCCAGUCCCGCCCUGAGCAGAAUGAAUGGACGGGGAAAUAUAAUUUUAAAAUACUGUUU
rnacentral:lncRNA from 1 species